GACGAACGCUGGCGGCGUGCUUAACACAUGCAAGUCGAACGGAAAGGCCCUGCUUUUGUGGGGUGCUCGAGUGGCGAACGGGUGAGUAACACGUGAGUAACCUGCCCUUGACUUUGGGAUAACUUCAGGAAACUGGGGCUAAUACCGGAUAGGAGCUCCUGCUGCAUGGUGGGGGUUGGAAAGUUUCGGCGGUUGGGGAUGGACUCGCGGCUUAUCAGCUUGUUGGUGGGGUAGUGGCUUACCAAGGCUUUGACGGGUAGCCGGCCUGAGAGGGUGACCGGCCACAGUGGGACUGAGAUACGGCCCAGAUGCCUACGGGAGGCAGCAGUGUGGAAUAUUGCACGAUGGGCGGAAUCCUGAUGCAGCAACGCCGCGUGCUGGAGGACGGCCUUCUGGUUGUAAACCGCUUUCGACUGUGACGAAGCGUGAGUGACGGUAAUGGGUAAAGAAGCACCGGCUAACUACGUG
rnacentral:rRNA from 1 species